GUAAUUAUUGUCCAUGUAUAGCUGGGCAUGUACAAAAAUAGUGCUCAUCUCCCAGCCAAUCAGAAUUGAGUAUUCAGCCAAGCUGUUGCAUAAGGUACUAUAGUAGACGUAACUAAGGUGGCAAGUUAAAGUCCCAGGUGGAGCUGUGUUUGCAUCCCUCAGCAUUCUGGCUCAGACGUUAUAACAUUGCCACUACAUGGCAGUAACAUCGUGAGAUCAUUAGCUGGGAUGCUACUACGUCAGUAAAUGUACCCAGGUGUAUAAAUGGAUCCUAACUGCCCUAGAUUACGACGUCUGCCAAGCAAAUAAAUAAUGAAUGAUUCAUGCGAUUACCACGCUUCCUCGUCUUCUGAAACAAACCCGAACUCCAUACUACACAACAAGGCUUCGGUGCAAACAGUAAGCGCGAUUGUCGGGCAGUUCACCAGACACCUUCACCGGUCCUUAUAACAGACAAGCCGCAGCAAUUAGCUUAGCGCCAAACGUGCUGUCGCCUCUGUACGGUGUGGGCUGACUGACUCGCGGAGGUACAGCCAGCCGACCGCACCGUUCAGUGCUGGAUUUAGAAUCAACCAUCUGCUGGAUGUGCAAGUUCUCAAACCGCUCUGCCCUGACGCCGGGUUCCAGGUCGUGUGGGGAAAUCCUGACAGACUUGCCAACGGGACACUCUACAUCAGGCCUGUAGAGAUUUAGACCCUGAUCUGUGGAAUCCUGCUUCCUUUCCGUUCAGUGUCAGAGCAGGAGCGACACGUCGCUCGGCAUGCUGGGAAAAGAAGGCACAAGCAGUCCUCUUUCAGCGCCGUAGCCGGAAAAAAAGGCGCAGGUGGCGCGUCUGAGGGAGUGAUCGCUAUCUCGGUCCCCCACCCCACCCCCCCACACGCCACGGCCGGCAGCUGUGCCGUCUGAAGCGUGGCUGACACGCGAGGUCGGGCAGCAGGGGGAAGAAAGCGUCGCCACGGUGAUGAACGUCUCUCCCUCUCUCUGUGAGUCACCGCCGCGCCGAUCUGCGCGGUCAGGGUUACGGGUGAGUUACGGAGACGAGAGCACGUUGGCCGCGAACAGACCGCACCCGCCGCGGCAAGCCCGCCGAUCCGAUCGGAAAACAGCCAUCCUGCCGGUCCUGCGUCUGACCCUGCCAUUGGACGGCUUCCUCUCUAUCAUUCACUUCCUGCCUGUCUUCCAGCUGUCGCAUUUCGCCUCUGAAAUGUGACUGAAAAUACCGUUCGGGGGAAUAUGGCAGCAGAGGACACCAGAAUUAUUAAAGUAUUCCACCUG